GACGAACGCUGGCGGCGUGCUUAACACAUGCAAGUCGAACGGAAAGGCCAUGCUUUUGUGGGGUGCUCGAGUGGCGAACGGGUGAGUAACACGUGAGUAACCUGCCCUUGACUUUGGGAUAACUUCAGGAAAAUGGGGCUAAUACCGGAUAGGAGAUCCUGCAGCAUGGUGGGGGUUGGAAAGUUUCGGCGGUUGGGGAUGGACUCGCGGCUUAUCAGCUUGUUGGUGGGGUAGUGGCUUACCAAGGCUUUGACGGGUAGCCGGCCUGAGAGGGUGACCGGCCACAUUGGGACUGAGAUACGGCCCAGACUCCUACGUGAGGCAGCAGUGGGGAAUAUUGCACAAUGGGCGGAAGCCUGAUGCAGCAACGCCGCGUGCGGGAUGACGGCCUUCGGGUUGUAAACCGCUUUCGCCUGUGACGAAGCGUGAGUGACGGUAAUGGGUAAAGAAGCACCGGCUAACUACGUG
rnacentral:rRNA from 1 species